rnacentral:rRNA from 1 species
UACGAAGGGUGCAAGCGUUACUCGGAAUUACUGGGCGUAAAGCGUGCGUAGGCGGUUUGUUAAGUCUGUCGUGAAAGCCCCGGGCUCAACCUGGGAAUGGCGAUGGAAACUGGCGAGCUAGAGUACGGUAGAGGAGAGUGGAAUCCCGGGUGUAGCAGUGAAAUGCGUAGAGAUCGGGAGGAACAUCAGUUGCGAAGGCGGCUCUCUGGACCAGUACUGACGCUGAGGCACGAAAGCGUGGGGAGCAAACAGGG